UACAGAGACUGCAAGCGUUAUUCGGAUUCACUGGGCGUAAAGGGUGCGCAGGCGGCCAGGUGUGUGAGGCGUGAAAGCCCGGGGCUUAACCCCGGAAUUGCACCUCAAACUACAUGGCUAGAGCAUUGGAGAGGGUAGCGGAAUUUACGGUGUAGCGGUGAAAUGCGUAGAUAUCAGGAAGAACACCCGUGGCUAAGGCGGCUCUCUAGUACGGUACUGGACGCUGAGACGCGAAAGCGUGGGGAGCGAACAGG
rnacentral:rRNA from 1 species